rnacentral:lncRNA from 1 species
CCCUGGAUAAACACUAUCAACAUAACAUUUGUCCCCUCUAGGCAUAGCAAACUCUAAAUCAAAUCCUAGAGGUGUAGGAUGAGGUUGUGUCAUUUGAGCAAAUGUAUGAGAAAUCACAGAAUGUGUAGCACCACAAUCAAUCAAAACUCUAGCAAAGUGACCAAGGGUAUUUAACGUACCCAUAAUCAAGUCCGGCUGGUUCUGAGCAUCUUGCAGUGAGAUGUGAUUAACACGUCCAUGAGCUUGCUGUCGUCCUCCACGACCUCUAUUACCUUGAUUACCUCGCCCCUGAGAAGUACAUCCCUGUCCUGUCUGGCUAGACUGCCUAGACGGUCAUGCACUGCUAGCAGCAACCUCUCCCUGUCGGGGCUGACCUCCUUGAUA